rnacentral:rRNA from 1 species
CCAAUAGCGUAUAUUAAAGUUGUUGCAGUUAAAAAGCUCGUAGUUGGAUUUCGGAAUCUGUCCAUUGGUCGGGCUUCACUGUCCGUACUGGUGUGGUGGGUUCUUACCUUCUGAAUAACCAGCAUGCCAUUUAUUUGGUGCGUUGGGGAAGCAGGACUAUUACCUUGAAAAAAUUAGAGUGCUCAAAGCAGGCUAGUGCCUGAAUACAUUAGCAUGGAAUAAUAAAAUAGGACGGCAUGGUUCUAUUUUGUUGGUUUCUAGGAUCACCGUAAUGAUUAAUAGGGAUAGUUGGGGGCAUUAGUAUUCAAUUGUCAGAGGUGAAAUUCUUGGAUUUAUUGAAGACUAACUUCUGCGAAAGCAUUUGCCAAGGAUGUUUUCAUUAAUCAAGAACGAAAGUUAGGGGAUCGAAGACGAUCAGAUACCGUCGUAAUCUUAACCAUAAACUAUGCCGACUAGGGCUCGGACGAUGUUAAUUUUUUAAUGACUCGUUCGGCGCCUUACG